GCUCCCAUAGCUUAAACCAAA
rnacentral:tRNA from 1 species